GGAUGAUCCAAAAGUAGUGAGAUAUCUGGACUGUUAACGGUCAGUUACAGACCGAACUCCUUGUUCUACCCUUUCCCCCCUUUUCACUACUGCACUUAAAAAA
rnacentral:Y_RNA from 1 species